UGGCGAACGGGUGAGUAACACGUGGGUAACCUGCCCAUCAGAAGGGGAUAACACUUGGAAACAGGUGCUAAUACCGUAUAACAAUCGAAACCGCAUGGUUUCGUUUUGAAAGGCGCUUUACGGUGCCGCUGAUGGAUGGACCCGCGGUGCAUUAGCUAGUUGGUGAGGUAACGGCUCACCAAGGCCACGAUGCAUAGCCGACCUGAGAGGGUGAUCGGCCACAUUGGGACUGAGACACGGCCCAAACUCCUACGGGAGGCAGCAGUAGGGAAUCUUCGGCAAUGGACGAAAGUCUGACCGAGCAACGCCGCGUGAGUGAAGAAGGUUUUCGGAUCGUAAAACUCUGUUGUUAUGAGAAGAACAAGGGUGAGAGUAACUGUUCACCCCUUGACGGUAUCUAACCAGAAAGCCACGGCUAACUACGUGCCAGCAGCCGCGGUAAUACGUAGGUGGCAAGCGUUGUCCGGAUUUAUUGGGCGUAAAGCGAGCGCAGGCGGUUUCUUAAGUCUGAUGUGAAAGCCCCCGGCUCAACCGGGGAGGGUCAUUGGAAACUGGGAGACUUGAGUGCAGAAGAGGAGAGUGGAAUUCCAUGUGUAGCGGUGAAAUGCGUAGAUAUAUGGAGGAACACCAGUGGCGAAGGCGGCUCUCUGGUCUGUAACUGACGCUGAGGCUCGAAAGCGUGGGGAGCAAACAGGA
rnacentral:rRNA from 1 species